rnacentral:rRNA from 1 species
ACUACGGGAGGCAGCAGUAGGGAAUCUUUCACAACGGGCGAAAGCCUGAUGGAGCAACGCCGCGUGCAGGAUGAAGGCCUUCGGGUUGUAAACUGCUUUUAUAAGCGAGAAAUAUGAUGGUAACUUAUGAAUAAGGAUCGGCUAACUACGUGCCAGCAGCCGCGGUCAUACGUAGGAUCCGAGCAUUAUCCGGAGUGACUGGGUGUAAAGAGGUGCGUAGGUGGCAUAAUAAGUAGCUAGUGAAAUCUGGUGGCUCAACCAUUCAGACUAUUAGCUAAACUGUUAAGCUCGAGACCGUUAGGGGUAACUGGAAUUGCUAGUGUAGGAGUGAAAUCCGUAGAUAUUAGAAGGAACACCAAUAGCGUAGGCAGGUUACUGGGACGGUUCUGACACUAAGGCACGAAAGCGUAGGGAGCAAACGGGAUUAGAUACCCGGGUAGUC